GAUGAACGCUGGCGGCGUGCCUAAUACAUGCAAGUCGAACGCUGGAAAUCUAGCUUGCUAGAUUGAAGGAGUGGCGAACGGGUGAGUAAUACAUAAGCAACCUACCCACGAAGACUGGGAUAAUCUCUGGAAACGGGGACUAAUACCGGAUAGGUAAUCGGAAGGCAUCUUCUGAUUAUUAAAGGUCAAAAACACUGGUGGAUGGGCCUAUGGCGCAUUAGUUAGUUGGUGAGGUAACGGCCCACCAAGACGAUGAUGCGUAGCCGGCCUGAGAGGGUGAACGGCCAGAUUGGGACUGAGACACGGCCCAGACUGCUACGGGAGGCAGCAGUAGGGAAUUUUCGGCAAUGGGGGAAACCCUGACCGAGCAACGCCGCGUGAGUGAUGACGGCCUUCGGGUUGUAAAGCUCUGUUGUAAGGGAAGAACGGUAGAUAGAGAAUAUCUAAAUGACGGUACCUUACCAGAAAGCCACGGCUAACUACGUG
rnacentral:rRNA from 1 species